GCAAGGUAAAUUGUACCGCCCAUUCCUUAAUUUUGGGUCGUCUUUCACUUCUAAUCUUAAACUUUAAAAACUCCUACGAAAAUCUUUUAUCUUGUUUUGUUUCAUAGAAACCCUUCUGAUCAUAUUCUGGUGGUUUCACUGAUGAAGCUGCUUACGUUGACAUGUCCAGGUGAAUUUUAAAAAUUAAAAAAAUUUCUCUCCUAUCAUUUCUUCUUCUAUGCCUUUUCCCUCUACCUCGCUUAUCCUUCACCCCCAUUCUCUCAUCCUCAUCCUCAUCCUCUUUCUCCGUUUUGUUAAUCACUUUCACUCUCUCUUCCUUUGCCAUUAUCACCACUCUUCCUAUUUCACUACCACCUGCAUUAAGGCGCAAUUUCCUCUUUUGCUCCAUUGCCAAACUGUAACAAUUGAUCUUACUUACAACUCAAAUCCACUACAAGUCAAAAAACUUACCACCCAAUUCCAAGUCACUUUUCCAAGCCAACACCUGAAGUUUGCCUCUGUCACUGCCCUGCUUUAGUUUUUUGGUAUAAUCAACCAAAAUUCUCUGGCCUUCAAUUGUCUCAGGAAAUGGGAUCUUGGCAAGCAAAUUCAGGUUUUU
rnacentral:misc_RNA from 1 species